CUUGACCUCGAUCAGG
rnacentral:rRNA from 1 species